CUCUCUCUGUACCUGCUCCACCACCGUGCCAUCUGAACAACACAACCCACAUCACCACUCACCACCGACCACCUACCAGCCUGCUCCAAUCCGCUCCAGCCCCAGAUAUAACAUUGGAAAAGGAUUCAAUCAAUAAUCCAGGCUUUUAAAGGGCUGGUUUGAACUGUUUCAUGUGUCUGUUAUAGCCAGCAUUGAUCAGAUGCACUUCGCUCAUGCUUUCUGAGGCAAUGACAUCAAAUGUCAAUUAAUUUGUUCUUUGUGUUUAAAAAAAGGCAUAGUGAGUCAUUGUUGUUUACUUAGAAACAGAAAUGAUAUGAAUGAGGGACAUAGGGAAAGUGCACUGUGUGUGAGAGAGAGAAAGAGAGAGAGAUAAGUUCUGCAUUUAUAAACAAUGUUUGUGCAUAUCUGUGCACAGUAUGUGUGCGUGUUUAUGCACUGUGUGUGUGUGUGUGUGUGUGUGUGUGUGUGUGUGUGUGUGUGUGUGUGUGUGUGCGUGUGUAUCUCUGUGUUUGUACACAUUGUAUGUGUGUGGGAGUAGUCAUCCUACUAUUCCCCCCACUACGGCAGAUGGCAAGUGACAAGGACAUUGUCGGCUGCAGUAAUAGAGCAGAGUAAAGCAGAGUAAAGCAGAGUAGAGCAGUAGUAGAGCAGUAGUAGAGCAGAGUAAAGUAGAGUAGAGCAGAGUAGAGCAGAGCAGAGCAGAGCAGAGCAGAGCAGAGCAGAGUAGAGUAGAGUAGAGUAGAGCAGAGCAGAGCAGAGCAGAGUAGAGCAGAGUAGAGCAGAGUAGAGCAGAGUAAAGCAGAGUAGAGCAGAGUAGAGCAGUAGUAGAGCAGUAGUAGAGCAGUAGUAGAGCAGUAGUAGAGCAGUAGUAGAGCAGAGUAGAGCAGUAGUAGAGCAGUAGUAGAGUAGAGUAGAGCAGAGUAGAGACUGGUGUCCUACUGAGACAGCAUGGCUCAACAUGACCAGAUCAGACCUCCUCAGGAGAACAUCACAGAUAGAAAGACCAACUGCCAUCUAAGACAAGAAAAUAAGGAGCCCAGACAAAAGGAAUGUUUCACAUUAAAUAUCCAAAUACUAACACCUCAAACUUUGAACAUUACUGCCGAAAAAACAAGUUAUUUAUUUUAUCCUUCAAAUUUGCCAAGCUCCAGGGUGGAGGGGCUAUUUAUAUAUAUUUUUUAAAGAUCAUUUGAAUAUUUAAAAAAAGAAGUUGUUAUUUGAGAGAACUCCAAGGGAUGCGUACACGGUAGGCUAUAACUGUGUUUAGCAGUGCGUUAAAGAGAGGGGGAUUCUCUCCCAGCUCAUUCCACCCCACUAGUAGUCUCCUCUGUCUCGUGGAGUCGCUAAUUGCGCCUCCUUGCCAGCCUGGGAGGGCAUCCGUCAGGCUUGACCCACCACUGGGAUUAAAAGGCAAGAUGUGGAUGAAUGUAUAAAUGAGGGGUACCAUGAGGCUGGGAGCGAAAACACAGUCUACAAACCAUCUGGCCUCUGAAAGAUUUAACAUCCACAAGGAUGGAACAUAUUAAAGACCACCAAGCUAUGUCAGGGAGAAUGAACUCCUCUCUCUGCAUGCAUGUUUACUAUAUUAUGCAUCGGUCUGUUUUUUUCCCAGAAGACACAUUCCACUUACAAUAAACAAAAUGGUAAUCGGGCACUUAUAUUGAGGCAUCCAACGAAUCAAUGUCAUCCGACAAACUACGUUACCCAUACAACCCCAUCAUACAAUCCCCCAGAAAUAGAAUGCAUCCUCACGCUGUAUCAGCCACCAUCUUUCCCGCUGAUAUCCUCCACUGUUCUCUAGUAGUACUUUUCUAUACAUCAAACCCCUCGACUGCCCGCCGUUGAGUUGUAAUUCCACUUUUAGUCAUGGCGAAUACAAAGAGGUGAGCAAGGCUGUGCCUUCCCUCUCUCCUGAGUGCUGUGAAACGGUUACCCCUUCUCCUGUGUUUCCUGGCCCCUGCUCUGGCCCCCGCUGAGAUCCCCCCUGCCUCCUCUUUUCCUGAGAUAUAACAUGUCAGACAAAUAGAACAGGCAGACAUUGAAAUGUGUCAGAGCCCAUCGAGAAUGAGAAUCAGAUGGGUGGUCGAGGGUGUAGUGGCUAGCUACACAGCGUUUGUAUAGAGCAACCACUACCUCAAUCCACAAAGCAAACGCAGAAACACAGGCCUGCAGAAACAUCACAGACACAACCACUGUACUGUAACAUUACUGAUACCACACUGCUACCAUCAAACCAUCAGAGACGUUCUCCGUCUCUGUAGUCAGAGGAGAGAGGAACUGAUAGUAGUGGGUCUAUUUUCAUGUUAUGGAAAUGGAGAGACAGCAGUGGUGAUUUUAGCAUGGAAAUCUUGGUGGAGCAAACAAACAGAAAAUGUGGGAUGCAUGCCAGCAAAGCCACUACACUACACAACACUACACUACACUACACAACACUACACUACACUACACAACACUACACUACACUACACUACACUACACUACACUACACUACACUACACUACACGAAACAAUACAUGAAUUGUCAUUCAGGGCAGGUGGGGCAGAGCUUUUAGGUAAAAAUAUAUAUAUAUAUAUGUUUUUUUGGGGGGGCUUGCCUGUUUUAUUUGUUAUUUUGGCAUUAAUACGUGUCACAUAUCAGUUUGCAAACAAUGUAAAACAAAAUAUAUAUAUCAUUAAGUUAAUAAAGCCGCAUACAAACAUGGUCUCUUUUUUGUUUUCCUGAGUAAGGCAUCUCCAAAAUGCAGGUGUUUCAGCCUAGCUCAGUGUUUUCUGUGGUGCUGGGGCAGCCAGCGGAAAAUACAGAGCGUUGCACCUGAUUGGUUCAGUUUUCUGUCGUGAUUGGUUCAGUUUUCUGUCGUGAUUGGCUCAGUUUUCUGUCACUCAUGGGACAGUACGUCAUCCCCAAUUCUAAGCUUAGAGCUCGGAAAUGUUAGCCCCUUGGGAUAUGCCAUAGAUUAAUAUUAGUAGUGCCCAUCCAAGAAGGCUCAAUGUCUUUGGCCACAGAUAGAAUGACAUCAAAUCACGUUAUAGCUACAGUAGCUUUGAUUGGACUGAUCAUGUCAACAUCUUACUUUCAACGUCUUAGCUAAGAGUCAUCAUCAGUUGUCAUCAAGUCGACAAUCUACUGGCAAAUCCUUUUCAAUCCUUGUCAUACGAAGAGAAAUAAUGAAGAGAAAUUAUAGAUAAAACGUAUCGGUGCUCAUCGGCCAUUGGACAUAAAGAUUACACAACAAGUUGGAAAUCGCAAAUUCAACAAUGAGUCGUUUGGAAGGAAUCAGUGGCUAACUGCAAAGAAACUACUAACGUUAGCCUGCUGUUCAAUGGAGUGGCUGUGUUUUUUCCCCGAGUUCCCACCAUAAAUACAAAGAAUGCCAGACUUUGAUGACAAAGUUUGAUGACAAAAUUUGCCCACAAAGGACCGCUGCGCCACCUUCACAAGGUGAGUCCAAAAAUGUCUUGUAUGCUGCUGCAUAGAUGAUGUAAUAUGCAAGAGAGAUGUGAAUACUGUAGCUAAGAAAGUAAUACUAAGUGUAUAUUGUGUAGUAAGCUGUUAGUAGCCCAUGUGCCUCACCCUAAUAAGUUGGUCUAUUUUCACCAAAGCGGUAUUAUAAACACAUUGUUCAUGGUCCGGUGUUUUCUUGUUUGGCUACUUUUUUGUACAGCUUUGACAGUGCUACUGAUAGUAGCGGUAUUGGUGGUGCUUGGAUUGCACAUGCAAAUUCAGCACACACAACAUUCUAUAAUAUAAUUGUGUUAUUUGACGUCUCAAAUUAAAAGCUAAUUUAACGUGUCAAAUAGUGUUAUAUGACGUGUAUAUUUUUUGACACGCAAAGACCCAAAUGCCGUUCAAUGUGCCUCAUCCUAAUAAUUUGUUCUAUUUUCACCUCUUAAUUUUGCCUACUGUUCUAACUUGGUGGUGCACAAAUAGCCUAAAACCUGUUAUUGAGAAAUGUAAUCAUUGAAUAUUCUAAGAGCUUUCAUUGUCUGUUUAUAUGCCCCCUUUAUUUAUCCUACAGUUCUGACUUGUUGUACAGGGAGUACACUGUAAGAACGGCCUAUGUUCUGAAUUUUGUCGCUGUACAUUUCAAAAGUGCUGAAGAAAUAGUUUUAUUGACUACGCCCAUCCUAGCUCGCUCAUUAAUUUCUUAAUCAAAAUGACGGAUUACCCUUUAUCCGCUUGUCGUCCCCUUAUGCCAUAGUUUGUAUAUCUCUAUUGUAACUAGAAACCACAUUUGUUUAUGCAAGUCUGCCAUAUCAGCUAUGUUUUUUAAAAGGCAGUAAAUGAGGCUGAAUGAACUGUUUCGAUGCCAGACAAGGCUUCGCUGAAAGCCAGGUGUAGCGGUGGUAAGUUGUUGGGACUCUGCUGUUGGGACAGCUUUAUGUAGGCUCCAGUGGCAAUUUUAGCAUGUACGUCUUGGUGGGGCCAACAAAAUAAUUUGGGAUGCAUGCCAGCAAAGCCAAUACACGACACAACACUAAACAAUAAAUGAAUUGCACUCUAACAGUGAUAAACGGUGCCCACAAACUGUUAGGGACUACAUUUUUAUUUUGACAUUGUUUGCAAACUGAUACGUGACACAUAUUAAUGCCAAAAUAACAAGCAAAACAGGCAAGCCCCCCCCCCCCCUUUUUUUUUUUACCUAAAAGUUUGGUGCUCAAAACAGCCCCACCUGCCCUGAAUGACGGGUCGCCACUGAGAGACAGGGCCAUGGAAAGAAAAGGAGAGAGAGAUAGAGGGGAAUGAUAAUGGGAGAGAUGGAAACAGAGAGAACAUGUGUGUAGUAGAUAUGCACUAGUGUAGCAGGAUGGCUGUGUGAAGUGCAUUGUGGGUUGUGUGUUCUGUGGGCCGGAAAAGCUUCUCUCUGCUCAGCGGCCUCUCACCAGCCAGCCAGUCAAACAGCCAUCCAGCCUUCUUUCAGAAACAACCCGCGACUCUGCGCUGAUGGUAAGUAGAUAUGCCAGUUGGUUGUUUGUAAUACUGCUUGAUAUGCAGUUUGCCCGGGGCUAUGGUGUAAUGAAUGUAAACUAGGAUCCCCCAGGAGAGGAGUUAUGAUCGUCGUUAACUCCUUCACUGCCGGCUGUCCCCCCACUUAAAGGUGUGUCAUGUGAUUGCCAUCUGAUCAAUGUGAAACCAAAUCAAUAUAGACAGUGCAUAAGCAGAUAGUCAACAUGAAUGUAUAGUACAUAUUCAAGGUGUAUACAAGAACCCUUACAGGUGACUGUUUCAGGGCCACCAUUACCCUCUUCCCUGCCUGCACACACUCCCUCAUAAUGCUAUCUGGCCUUUCACGGGCUCAUCAGGAAUUGCUCACCACAAUGUCCUGAGUUCCCAGGAAGACAUUUGCGGCAGAAAUGAGUAGCACGCCCUGAUGGCUGUGACUGGGCUAGAAAGUAGAUGUAUGUGGUGCAGUGAGAGAGGGAAAGAGAGAGAGAGAUAGAUUUUGUGUAUUGUCUACCUCAUUUGCUUUGGCAAUGUUAACACAUGUUUCCCAUGCCAAUAAAGCCCCUUGAAUUGAAUUGAAUUGAUAGAAAGAUAGAGGGGAAUGACAGAGACAGAGAAAGAGGGAAAGAGAGACAGAUAGAGAGGGAAAGAGAGAGACAGAGAGAGGGAAAGAUAGAGAAAGAUAGAGAGAGGGAAAGAGAGAGAGAGAGAUAGAAAGAUAUAAUAUAGGGAAAGAGAGCGAAAGAUAGAAAGAUAGAUUGGAAAGACAGAGACAGAGAAAGAGGGAAAGAGAGACAGAUAGAGAGGGAAAGAGAGCGACAGAGAGAGAGAGGGAAAGAUAGAGAAAGAUAGAAAUAUAGGGGAAGAGAGCGAGAUAGGGAGAGAAAGAUAGAAAGAUAGAGGGGCAAGACAGAGAUAGAGAAAGAGGGAAAGAGAGAAAGAUAGAGAGGGAAAGAGAGAAAGAUAGAAAGAGAGGGAAAGAGAAAUAUAGAAAGAUAGAAGGAAAGAUAGAGAAAGACAGAGAGAGGGAAAGAGAGAGACAGAUAUAGAGAGAGGGAAAGAGAGAGAAAGAUAGAGGGAAAGAGAGAGACAGAGAGAGAGAGAAAGAGAGAAGAAAGAUAGAGAGGGAAACAGAGGGAAAGAGAGAGGGAAAGAGAGAGGGGAAGAGAGAGGGGAAGAGAGAGGGAAAGAGAGAGGGAAAGAGAGAGGGAAAGAGAGAGGGAAAGAGAGAGGGAAAGAGAGAGGGAAAGAGAGAGGGAAAGAGAGAAGAAAGAUGGAGGGAAAAUAGAGAGAAAGAUGGAGGGAAAGGGAGAGACAGAUAGAGAGAGAGGGAAGGAGAGAGAAAGAUAGAAAGAGAAAGAUAGAGAGAGAGGGAAAGAGAGAGGGAAAGAGAGAGAGGGAAAGAGAGAAGAAAGAUAGAGGGAAACAGAGAGAAAGAGAGAGGGAAAGAGAGAGGGAAAGAGAGAAGAAAAAUAAAGGGAAAAUAGAGAGAAAGAUGGAUGGAAAGGGAGAGACAGAUAGAGAGAGGGAAAGAGGAGACAGAUAGAGUGGGGGAAAAGAGAGAAAGAUCGAGAGGGAAAGAGAGAGAAAGACAGAGAGAGAAAGAGAAAGAUAGAGAGACAGAGAGAGAUGGAAAGAGAGGGAAAGAGAGAGGGAAAGAGAGAGGGAAAGAGAGAAGAAAAACGGAGGGAAAAUAGAGAGAAAGAUGGAGGGAAAGGGAACACAGAUAGAGAGAGGGAACGAGGAGAGAUAGAGAGUGGGGAAAAGAGAGAAAGAGAGAGAGGGAAAGAGAGAGAGAGAGAAAGAUGGAAAGAGAAAGAGAGAGAAGGAAAGAGAAGGAAAGAGAAGAUAAGAGAGGGAAAGAAAGGGCAAGAGAGAGAAAGAUGGAGAGAUAGGGAAGGAGAGAGACAGAUAGAGAAGGAAAGAUAGAGGGAAAGAGAGUGAAAGAUAGAGAGGGAAAGAGAGAAAGAUAGAAAGAGAGGGAAAUAGAAAUAUAGAAAGAUAGAGGGAAAGAGAGAGAGACAGAGAGAAGGAAAGAUAGAGAAAGACAGAGAGAGGGAAAGAGAGAGACAGCUAUAGAGAGGGGGAAGGAGAGAGAAAGAUAGAGAGAGAAAGAGAAAGAUAGAGAGACAGAUAGAGAGAGAGAGAUAUAGAGAGAGAUGGAAAGAGAGACAGAUCGAGAGAGCGGGAAAGAUAGAGAAAGAUAGAGAGGGAAGGAGAGAGAGAGACAGAGAGAAGGAAAGAUAGAGAAAGACAGAGAGAGGGAAAGAGAGAGACAGAUAUAGAGAGAGGGAAAGAGAGAGAAAGAUAGAGGGAAAGAGAGAGACAGAGAGAGAGAGAAAGAGAGAAGAAAGAUAGAGAGGGAAACAGAGAGAAAGAUAGAGGGGAAGAGAGAGGGGAAGAGAGAGGGAAAGAGAGAGGGAAAGAGAGAGGGAAAGAGAGAGGGAAAGAGAGAGGGAAAGAGAGAGGGAAAAUAGAGGGAAAAUAGAGAGAAAGAUGGAGGGAAAGGGAGAGACAGAUAGAGAGAGAGGGAAGGAGAGAGAAAGAUAGAAAGAGAAAGAUAGAGAGAGAGGAAAAGAGAGAGAAAGAUAGAGGGAAAGAGAGAGACAAAGAGAGAGAGGGAAAGAGAGAAGAAAGAUAGAGGGAAAGAGAGAGGGAAAGAGAGAGGGAAAGAGAGAGGGAAAGAUAGAAGAAAAAUAAAGGGAAAAUAGAGAGAAAGAUGGAUGGAAAGGGAGAGACAGAUAGAGAGAGGGAAAGAGGAGACAGAUAGAGUGGGGAAAAGAGAGAAAGAGAGAGAGGGAAAGAGAGAGAAAGACAGAGAGAGAAAGAGAAAGAUAGAGAGACAGAGAGAGAUGGAAAGAGAGGGAAAGAGAGAGGGAAAGAGAGAAGAAAAACGGAGGGAAAAUAGAGAGAAAAAUGGAGGGAAAGGGGACACAGAUAGAGAGAGGGAACGAGGAGAGAUAGAGAGUGGGGAAAAGAGAGAAAGUGAGAGAGGGAAAGAGAGAGAGGGAAAGAGAGAGAGAGGGAAAGAGAGAGAGAAAGAGAGAGAAGGAAAGAGAAGGAAAGAGAAGAUAAGAGAGGGAAAGAAAGGGCAAGUGAGAGAAAGAUGGAGAGAUAGGGAAGGAGAGAGACAGAUAGAGAAGGAAAGAUAGAGGGAAAGAGAGUGAAAGAUAGAGAGGGAAAGAGAGAAAGAUAGAAAGAGAGGGAAAUAGAAAUAUAGAAAGAUAGAGGGAAAGAGAGAGACAGAGAGAAGGAAAGAUAGAGAAAGACAGAGAGAGGGAAAGAGAGAGACAGCUAUAGAGAGAGGGAAGGAGAGAGAAAGAUAGAGAGAGAAAGAGAAAGAUAGAGAGACAGAUAGAGAGAGAGAGAUAUAGAGAGAGAUGGAAAGAGAGACAGAUCGAGAGAGCGGGAAAGAUAGAGAAAGAUAGAGAGGGAAGGAGAGAGAGAGACAGAGAGAAGGAAAGAUAGAGAAAGACAGAGAGAGGGAAAGAGAGAGACAGAUAUAGAGAGAGGGAAAGAGAGAGAAAGAUAGAGGGAAAGAGAGAGACAGAGAGAGAGAGAAAGAGAGAAGAAAGAUAGAGAGGGAAACAGAGAGAAAGAUAGAGGGAAAGAGAGAGGGAAAGAGAGAGGGAAAGAGAGAGGGGAAGAGAGAGGGGAAGAGAGAGGGAAAGAGAGAGGGAAAGAGAGAGGGAGAGAGGGAAAGAGAGAGGGAAAGAGAGAGGGAAAGAGAGAGGGAAAGAGAGAGGGAAAGAGAGAGGGAAAAUAGAGGGAAAAUAGAGAGAAAGAUGGAGGGAAAGGGAGAGACAGAUAGAGAGAGAGGGAAGGAGAGAGAAAGAUAGAAAGAGAAAGAUAGAGAGAGAGGGAAAGAGAGAGAAAGAUAGAGGGAAAGAGAGAGACAAAGAGAGAGAGGGAAAGAGAGAAGAAAGAUAGAGGGAAACAGAGGGAAAGAGAGAGGGAAAGAGAGAGGGAAAGAGAGAGGGAAAGAUAGAAGAAAAAUAAAGGGAAAAUAGAGAGAAAGAUGGAUGGAAAGGGAGAGACAGAUAGAGAGAGGGAAAGAGGAGACAGAUAGAGUGGGGAAAAGAGAGAAAGAUCGAGAGGGAAAGAGAGAGAGGGAAAGAGAGAGAAAGACAGAGAGAGAAAGAGAAAGAUAGAGAGACAGAAAGAGAUGGAAAGAGAGAGAAAGAGAGAGGGAAAGAGAGAGGGAAAGAGAGAGGGAAAGAGAGAAGAAAAACGGAGGGAAAAUAGAGAGAAAGAUGGAGGGAAAGGGGACACAGAUAGAGAGAGGGAACGAGGAGAGAUAGAGAGUGGGGAAAAGAGAGAAAGUGAGAGAGGGAAAGAGAGAGAGGGAAAGAGAGAGAGAGGGAAAGAGAGAGAGAAAGAUGGAAAGAGAAAGAGAGAGAAGGAAAGAGAAGAUAAGAGAGGGAAAGAUAGGGCAAGAGAGAGAAAGUGGGAGAGAUAGGGAAGGAGAGAGACAGAUAGAGAAGGAAAGAUAGAGGGAAAGAGAGCGAAAGAUAGAGAGGGAAAGAGAGAAAGAUAGAAAGAGAGGGAAAUAGAAAUAUAGAAAGAUAGAGGGAAAGAGAGAGAGACAGAGAGAAGGAAAGAUAGAGAAAGACAGAGGGAAAGAGAGAGACAGCUAUAGAGAGAGGGAAGGAGAGAGAAAGAUAGAGAGAGAAAGAGAAAGAUAGAGAGACAGAUAGAGAGAGAGAGAUAUAGAGAGAGAUGGAAAGAGAGACAGAUCGAGAGAGCGGGAAAGAUAGAGAAAGAUAGAGAGGGAAGGAGAGAGAGAGAUAGAAAGAUAGAAAUAUAGGGAAAGAGAGCGAAAGAUAGAAAGAUAGAGGGGAAAGACAGAGACAGAGAAAGAGGGAAAGCGAGACAGAUAGAGAGGGAAAGAGAGAGACAGAGAGAGAAGGAAAGAUAGAGGGAAAGAGAGAGAAAGAUAGAGAGGGAAAGAGAAAAAGAUAGAAAGAGAGGGAAAGAGAAAUAUAGAAAGAUAGAGGGAAAGAGAGAGAGACAGAGAGAAGGAAAGAUAGAGAAAGACAGAGGGAAAGAGAGAGACAGAUAUAGAGAGAAGGAAGGAGAGAGAAAGAUAGAGAGAGAAAGAGAAAGAUAGAGAGACAGAUAGAGAGAUAGAGACAGAGAGAGAGAGGGAAAGAGAGAAGAAAGCUAGAGAGGGAAACAGAGGGAAAGAGAGAGGGAAAGAGAGAGGGAAAGAGAGAGAAAGACAGAGAGAGAAAGAGAAAGAUAGAGAGACAGAGAGAGAUGGAAAGAGAGGGAAAGAGAGGGAAAGAGAGAGGGAAAGAGAGAGGGAAAGAGAGAGGGAAAGAGAGAAGAAAAACGGAGGGAAAAUAGAGAGAAAGAUGGAGGGAAAGGGAACACAGAUAGAGAGAGGGAACGAGGAGAGAUAGAGAGUGGGGAAAAGAGAGAAAGAGAGAGAGGGAAAGAGAGA